AACGAACGCUGGCGGCAUGCCUAACACAUGCAAGUCGAACGAACCCUUCGGGGUUAGUGGCGUACGGGUGCGUAGCGCGUGGGAAUAUGCCCUUUGCUUCGGCCUAACUCAGGGAAACUUGUGCUAAUACCGGAUGAUGUCUUCGGACGAAUGAUUUAUCGGCACGGGAUGAGCCCGCGUAGGAUUAGGUUGUUCGUGGGGUAAUGGAAUACCAAGCCGACGAUCCUUAGCUGGUCUGAGAGGAUGAUCAGCGACACUGGGACGAAGACACGGCCCAGACUCCUACGGGAUGGAGCAGUGGGUAAUAGUGGAAAACGGGCUCAAGCCUGAACCAGCAAUGCCGCGUGAGUUAUGAAAGCACUCGGGACGUAAAGCGCAAGUAACAGGGAAGAUAUUGACGGUACCUGGAGAAUAAGCUCCGGCUAACUCCGUG
rnacentral:rRNA from 1 species